rnacentral:lncRNA from 1 species
GCUGUUCUCCUUUUUCACUUCUUUGCUGCAGUCCCCCCUUGGAAUAUGAAUUGUGUUUUGUGGAUUCUCCCUUACAAUGGAGAACCAAUCUCCAUAUAUAAAACCAACGGCAAAGGUUACUAAAGGCCAAUUAAAAUGACCAUUAAUCCUAGGUUAAUGGACUUUCAAGUCCUUAUUAAAGAAAAGAAAAAUAAACGGAAAUAAUAAAAACUAAAAAUUAUGUCUCUUCUUAAAUCUAUUGAAUAGCACUCCAUGUCCAUUUGAUUCCCAAAACCAUUGCAGUCUCAUCUUCUUGUUGUAACGCAUAUGCCUUGGUGCAGUUAACUAGCCUCUUGCUCCAUUGGAAUUACUCUAGACACCCAAAAAGCUCAUUUUGCACUUCAUUUUUGCAUAACUCCCGUAUUCAAUGCCUAUAAAUUAAAACAAAAUAAAUUAGUGCAUUUAACCCAUUCAUAUAUACAAAAUCCAAAGGAAAUAUAUGAUAAAAAUAUAUGAAAACAUGCAUCCAUCAAAUACCCCCAAACUUAGAUUUUGCUUGUCCUCGAGUAAAACAAAAGAAAAUACAAAGACUCAACAAAAACAAAUUAAUAGCUAACUUCCUAAAUUUUAAACUUAGAGAAAAUACCAAACAUGAGAUAACUUUCAAGAAAUAAGAAACACUAGUUCAAGACAUUAUCCAAACAUUAAACCAAAUUUGAAUGACCCAACUUGGAGUGUAGUGUGUGUAUUAGCCAUGUCAAUGCAAUUCCAAGCUUUUUUUAAAAAUCAUCAUAUGCAAACUAGUGAACUUCUCACAAGGCAUACACUCAUUCACUCAUAUUUGUAGGUUAAUGUGUUUCACUCAAAUGAUCUCAUUAUACAUGACGCCAUAUGCUUGCUUGUCUACCUAACUCGGUAUCAAUAUCAAGUAACUUCUUGGAUCAAAAGGACUUUAUUACGGUUGUAAUGAGGUUGAAGGUUAAUAGGCUAAACAAUGAAGGGUAUGGGGAAAAAAAAAAUCUAAGAAAAUUGUACAACAUUUCUUCACACCAGAGAGAUUCAACAAUACAUUCACAACACUUGAAGCACUUUGAACAUAAGUACAUAAUUUUACAACAAAAUUUUUCAAACCCCUGCCGUUCUUUUUUUUCUUUUCUCCUUUUUUUUUCUUUUUUUUUUCUUCCACCUUGUAGCAACUUUUUUUUUUUCCGCAACUUUUGUUUUUUUUUUUUUUUUCACUUCACUAUUUUUGCUUCAUUAACCAAUAACCAUGAACAAUGUUGAACUCUCUUUCUUUAUAAAAUUGCUCUACAACUCCUUAGAAGGGUAGGAUAAAUUUUAGGUAAGGGAUAUUUAGGUUUAAGAACAAAAAGGUUUAUAUAACGGCUCAAAAUGGCUAACUAGGGAAAAUAAUCAUAAGGGUUGGCUAGAAAGGCUCAAAUGAAAGAAAAACAAAUGCCUAAAUCAUUUCCAAUAUUUUACUUGAAUUGAUGAAUGCAGCAAGAGGUAUAAAGCAAGUUCUAGAGAUGCAUGUAAAAAGGAGAUCAAACGCACAAGAAUAAAUGAGAUUGAUACAUAGUGGUUCAAUCUAUAAAAUAGGCUCAAAAGCUCACAAGGAUUACAUAAGCUCACUAGAUUCACAUAUGAAACUUUAAAUCAUGCUCUAGUUUCACACCAACAAGGCUAUGUGCAUUUGUUUUUCCAAGUCAUGAUCAUAAAAAAAAAAUAUAGUUAAAACAAAGAUAAUGAAAAGAACUAAUGUCAAACUUAAAUUUCUUGAAAAUUAUGAGAAAAUAAAGACCAAAUCUUAUCAGUGAAUUGGAAAGUAGCCAAAAAGAACAAGAUUCAAAGAAAAAGAAAAUGUUUUUCAUUUUUUCAAAAUUUUACAUUUUUUUUUAAGUAUUAUAUAUUUUCAGUUCGGUAUGCGAUUCUCGAAAUAUCGAGAAGCCAAUCCCGAAUCCCGUACCGAAAUUUCGGGAUCGGUUCGGGAUAACAUCUAAAAAAUUUUGGGAAAUCCGGUUUGGGAAAUUUUUGGUUUGGGAUCGGAAUUUUUUCGGUUCGGUUCGGGAUUUUUGGGAAUUUUUUCCACCCCUACCCUCACCAAAUUAAUCUAUGUAACCAAACACUCCCUAAAUCUCCAUGCCAAUUUCAGAAAACCCCAAUUCCCCCAAACCCUAACCCUAAAUUUCAAAUCUUAGCUCUAAUCAUCCCCACAACAAUGUCCUCACCACCACAGUCAUCACCCAUGGCCUCAGUCUCCGCCUCAUCCAGAACCUCUGCUAAGAAGCCCCAGCCUCUACAGUGGACCCAAGAGGAGAUGGUUCAGCUGAUCUGGGCCUACGAGGAGAAGUGGCACGCGCUGAGGAGGGCCCAACUAAAAUUGAGCCAGUGGGAAGAGAUGGCGAUGUCCAUGGCGGCCAGGUGCGACUACGAGUACCGCGAGCCGUCGAAAUUCACCACGCAUUGAGGCCACAAGAUGGAGAAACUCCAGUAGCGACAUUGCACCAUGAAGAAGCGCAUGGGCCAAAGAACCAAGUCUGGCUGUCUCUUCUUCAAGCUUAUGGAGCAGAUAAAGCAAACAGAGCAAGAGUUAAAGAGUUGGACAAAGGCGGCGGGGGACGACAAUGAUGAAGGAAACAAAGAGGUGUCGAGUGGAGAUGGAGAAAAGGAGGAUUGUGGGAGUGUUUGGUUACAAAGAGUAAUUUGGUGAGGGUGAUGAGUUUGUAGGGAUAGUCCCACAUUUUUUUUACAAAAAAAUUAUUAUUUAAUUUUUUUUAAUAUUUAAUUAAAAGUUGGGCUAGGGAGUGGGGCCUCUAUUAAGACACGUCGGCAUUUAAUAGAAAAAUUGGUGAAAGUCUAAUAUUGCAACAAAUUUGUAAGAUGAGGUAUGGCAUUGUAAUUUUUAAAACAUGGAGUAUGAAAUUGUAGUUCGACUCAUAGGUAAGGUAGCUUUGUGUAAUUUACCUUUAAAAGUAAUAUGGGUGUAGAGAGUAAAUUGGGUGUAAAAAGAGGUUGUAUGUGUUCAAAUAAAAUUUCCCUUUAUGUAAUAGGUCUUUCACAUGAGAAGAUACACUUAUAGAUCAAGCAAUGCAACUCUAAUAAAAAGAGGUGGAGCGACAUGUACACCUCUAGUGGCCAACCCCCACCCCUCCCACUCCCUCUAAAUGCAAGGUUAAUUUCAUGACAUUGUAGGAGAUUUUUAAUUAAAACAAAAGUAGUUGCUGGCCUCCCCACAAUUCAAGUAGAUGCAUAUGAAUUUCUUUCGUUCUUAGUAUUGGCACCCACUUUGACCAAAAAAAAAAAAAGUAUUGGCACCCCUUGAACUAAAAUUUUGCCUCCGUCCCUGCUAGUAAAAGUGGCAUUGGUUCACAUUGAAAAUAUAUGUGGCUUCACUAUGUAAACCGCAUACAAUGAAGGCUUUUUAGUUAAAAUAGUUUAUGAGAUUAUCAUAACUCCUCACUUUGGUUCCUGAGAUAUAAAAUUAAUAGAAGUGGUCCCUGAGAUUGUCUACUGUCAAUCAUUUUGGUAAUUCUGUGAAUCUUCAUUAAAUUAAAGAAACCACCAGUUCAAGGGGAGGUGUUGAUUUGUCAAAAUACCCAAUGUAACAAAUAUUUCUCACAGAAUGACCAAAAUGAUUGAUAGUGGACAAUCUCAAGGAUCACUUCUAUCGGUUUUAAAUCUCAGUGACUAAAGCAAAGAGUUAUGCCAAUCUUAGAGACCAUUUUGGAUAAAAGGCCUACAUAAUAAGGUGCAACCUUUGAAUAAAAGUGUUAUACCUUUUACAAGGCUUACAACAACAUUCAACAAGGGGGUUCUUUUUUCUUUUUUUUUUCUUUCGGUAAAAGGCUACUUUAUUACCAACAAUAUAAUUAUAUAAGAAAAAGGCCAAAUACUACAAAAACGAACAAAAAUAUGUACCUUUAUAGUGAGCCAAGAGCCCAAAAAAAAUUUUGAGCCCAAUACAUAAAAAACAACAAAGCAAGCCCUGGCAGCUUCUUCCAACUUCACCGCUGGAAAUCUGCUAGCCAACCAACCUAAACGAACGUCACCAACACACACCUGAAAUCAAGCUAAAAAGAGCCCCAAAACUGGAUGAAACUUGAGUGAACACAAAUCCCCAAAACAGAGCCCCAAAGACCACCACCGAGGACCACAACAGUAGCCCCACAAAUUGAAGGAAGCCAGCGGGAAGAAUCAACCCACUAGCAACAGUGCCAACAAAGGCAAACCCAACGAAGGAGGUGGUGUGAACACCUAAGCCAGAACUCCACACACCUUCCGGGUGAAAUGCGAAAAAUCAAGGUAAAGAGAAGUAGAAGCCAAACUAAAUUGCAUAGUCGAUGAUGAAAGAUGGAGCCGAUUGGGAUGGAGAGUGAAAGGAAGGGGAAACGAAAGAAAACAGGGGGAAAAGGUGGUGGAUAGGAGGUGGAAGGAAAGGGUAAAAAGGAGAAAAAAAGGGGAAAAGGAGAAAACGGGAAAAAGGGUGGAAGGAAAUUGGACAGAAGGAAGGAAACAGGUACCAGGAAGUUGGAGGAAGGAAACGGGGAAAAAAAGUUGAAGGAAAAUGGAAGGAAUGGGGAAACAGGAAAAGGGGAAAAAGGGGCUACAAAUAGAGAAGCCAGAUGGGGUGGGGGGUGGGGGCACAGGGGGUUGGAAGAGAGUGGCGAACAGGACAGGGAAAGCUAGAAACUGAAAAAGAAGGAAAGGAAAGGAAAGGAAAGGAGAAGAAAAUGACUGCCACCGACCCUGGCCAUAGCUAGGGUCGGCAGCUACAAGAUGAACAGAAUAGGAAAAAAAGGUACCCUUUAGUUGUCUAUAAAUAGCUUAGCAUUCAAACCUAUUUCAUUCAUCCAAUUCACUUGUAUGAGAGACUAAGAAAAUAAACCUUCUUACGUGAUCCCCAAUUUGGCAACGGCCAUCACUGAGAUCCACUUACUUGUAAUUAGGUCAAAUUUUUUGUUGCAUCAAAUGAUCGGUUACUUAUUUAGCAUCAUGUUAUGUUGUUGCUUUGUGUCACAUCCAAAGUUCAGCAAGUUUUGAAUUCGACUACCAUACCAUUAAACCGAUGAAACAUCAGAAAUUAAAAUAGAAAUAAAAAACCCUAAUCACGAUAUGAAACAACAAUAAUCCCCAUCUACAAGACAACAACUGCAAGUUCCCAUUAGGAUAGUUUAUAACAUAAAUAGGGAAAAUGCACAUAAUAUAGAUUCACAAAAGUAAAGCCAUAUAUCAUACGUUCAACGGUUCAAGAGAAGUUCCUACUUAUUGCGCAAGGCUCUGAAAUAGCCUUGAGGUUCACGUGAUCACUCAUAUAUUUCAUGCAUUUAUACCAUCCAUUUCUAAAGUCUUUGUGAUGUUUUUGUGUUAAAAUUGUGGCAUUUUACCUUACCUUGUGUUAAUGUGCAGUUAAUUUUGUUUUAGGAUCAAUUUCAAGCAAAAUGGAGAAAAGGAAAUAAAUAAAAUAAAAUAAAAUAAAAAAAUAAAAAAUGAUAGCUGAAAAGUGGAGUGGGAGACACGGCAAGGAGGGCAGUGCACUGAGACAGAAAGAAAAGAAAAACAGUAGACAAAGAAGAGUGGAAGGAAUAAGAAAAGGAAAAGAAGAAUAAUAAGCAGGGAGUGGGGAAGACACUGAGCAGAAAGCAGAAAGAGGAGUGCAGCACUGCAUAAAUAAAGAAAGGAAGUGGAGUGCACUGACGCAGAUGGGGGGACACGGACAGCAGGUGCAGAGAAAGAAAAACAGAAAAUAAAGAAGUGGGAGGACACGGACUGAGUGGAAGAAUAAAAGAAAGAGCAGUGGGAAGGCAGAAAAAAAGAAAGAGAGAAUGGAAAUAAUAAAAGAGGAGAGUAGACAGAGACAAAAACGUAUCACAGAAGCAGAGGACAGAGAAGCACAGACUGACGGCAGAGGAAGAAUAGGCAGAGAGCAAGAGGCACGGCAGAGAGCAAGGAAGGAAAGAAGAAGAAGCUUCACUCUAUUUUCUUGGUUUUAUCUUCUCAAACCCAUGUUUUACUUUUGGUUUAAUUUGUGAAUUAUGUGUAACUAAAUUUUAAGUAGUUAGGGGCUGUUUUGAAGCCCCUAAUAUGAUUGCAAGUUUGUUAUGACAUUUCAUUGAAUUGCCUUUAUGAAUGGAUGAAAAUUGGUACUUAUGUCAGUGAUGAAUUCUUUAUAUGUUUUCUAUGGAUGCAUACUUAGUAAGCAUAUUUAGGAUUCAAAUGCUAUGAAUAUAUGUAUGCCUGCCCUUGUUGAAUGAGGACCUACAUAUGUUCUAGAGUAGUACUUGUUAAUUGCGAUUAACAUGUGAACCAAUUUCUAGGAUAAGUAAGACAAUGCCAGUACUUACCAUGCCUUGUGAUGACUCAAACUCUUUUCGUUCUUAAUGAUUUCUACUUGUUAAAUCUAUGAACAUGCCAUUCUAGAUUGCAUGCUAGGGACUACGUUAAGUUGAAAAUGCCAUUCGAUUAACAUACUACGUAAGAAAGAGUAAUAGGUUGUGGUCUAACAUUGAGCCAACUUGAGCAUCUUCAUCCGGAAAUAAAAGGAAUUUGAAUGAAACAUAGCAUGUUUGCAUGAUUAUUUGGUGGUGGAUAACAAUUCCCCUAACUCGUUUUUCUUAAACUUGUGAUCUACUCAAAAUCUGUUUCUGUACUGUUUUUGUACGAUUUAAUUUAAAUAGCAAAUCAACUCCAAAAAUCCCAAACAUUUGUGAGACUGUCGUACUGUGUGUCUAGU